CACAGAGCAGGUGCUCUGUCUCAAGCCCCAUCUCCCCAGCUCUCAAGCUCCUGUUUUCCCCUCCGUGCUCUCUUGCCUCCUCUCCAGCAGAUCAGGCUCUGGUACUGGAGAACACAAGCUGUAUUUUUGUUGUGGUAUGUGGAUUUCUUGCUGUCUCAUGAUUUUGCACUCACGGUGGUGUCCAGACUUGCCUGGAGAACAGGUUUGAACUCUCUCAGGUCUUACACUGCAAGAAGCCACCAGCAGCAAGUUUCUGAAAGUGGAGAGAGGGAUUUUACCCAACUCUUGAUGCUGUUCUGCUUGAAGAGCAAUUUUAUCUCCAAAUUGCUCUCAGCUUGGGAAGCCCACAGACCAGCAUCUCAUGGUGCUUGAGAGGAUACUGACACCCAUAAAAGCAGCUGAAUGUCCUGGAAUUGUGAUCCUCCACGUGUACCUCCAGGCAUUUCCUGGCCUCCGAGUUCAGCUGAGUGUCUGAGCUCCUGCAUGGGUCUAAAUAAUAAAACAUAUGAGUUCCCUGCCAUGUGCCCAGAA